UAGUCAUACGAGGAUCUGACACUCUGUUC
rnacentral:piRNA from 1 species